UUCGGCCUCACCAAGGAAAAGAGGAAAGAAAGAAAGAACAAAUCCCUAGUUAGAAAAUUCAAGAGAAAAUUUGUGGAUUUCAAGGAAUUAAGUAAGUAAAGGUAAAAUUUCUUGAUUUUAGCUUGUGAUCUACCUUUCCUAUGCAUUCUUUUUCAUUUUUCAUGGUUGAGAAUCAAGUUUGCAUAAGGAUACCUUUGCUGGCCGAACAUGAGGGGAGGAGUUUUGAUCUUGAAUUUAGCUAGAUUUCAUGUUAUUCUAGUAUAUUUAGUUGGUUGGUGAUGUGUAGCAUAAAAAGCAAAUAAGAAAAAUUCAUGUUCUUACAUCACCUUCAUUGGCCGAAUCUUCCUUAUGGUAUGUGGAUGGUGGAUUUUAUUUUAUUUCAAGUGAUUUGGUUAGGAAUUAAUGAUUUAUGGUGUAAAAAUCAAGUAUGGAAAAACCAUAGUGUUUAUGCACCCAUCAUGGUUGAAUUUUCCAAGAGAAAAUGUUGAGGAUGAUUUUGCUAUAAUUCAUGUUAUCUAGCUUAUAUUUGAUGAUUUGGAGUAUUGGAAGUGAAAUGAAUUUGUUUGGAGUUACUUUGGAUGUUUUGGUUAAAUCAAAGGUGAAGAGUUAGAAUUAGGUUGAAAACUGACCAUUCCGAUCAUCCUUGAACCAACGUGAAUUCCAUUUUUCAGUGACUAUCCAAACAACCACAUGCAUUCAUAUAAAGCCUGAAAUAGAUUUAUAAUUAUAUGACACAAUAUAUUGAAUUAUUUGUCGUGUAUUGUGUAUAAGUGGUGAGUCCUCUAACAAGGCAAAGACAUUGUGCUAGAGGACCAAGAACAGGAGUAUUUCGAACUCUCGAUAUUGAGAGUAACCUUAUUAUCAUCUUAAUUAUCUAAAGUAGUUUUUAUUCGUUUUUGUGAUUUUAUAGAAAAUUGAGUUUAAAUGGUAAAUCCAUAUGUUUUAUAAGUAAAAUGUGAUUAAAUGAAAUGAGUUUUAUAAAUCAUUUUGAAAUUGAAUGAUGAUUUUAGAAAUGGAGUAAUUGGAGACUGUUUGUUUGUGUUGUAAAUUUAUGGUUUGAAUUGAAUGGAUUAUGGUGAUAUUGGCUUGAAUGGUUGAAUUGGAAAUUAUGUUGAAUAUAUGAACUGUUUUGCUUUGCCUUGACAAGCUGGUAAUAUUAUAUUAGCCAUGUAAUACUGCUAAAAUUUUAUUGAUUUGGUGAGAUAUCGAUUAGCUGACUGCAGUGGACGGGAUUCUAUAGACUAGCCUGUUAGAGGGACACGGUAAACCCUGUUUCAUUUUAUUUUACCUUAGUACGAGAGGCGCAGAGGGUAUCUCCUGAGGUAAAGCUUCAGAGUUCACUUCACGCCGAACCACCACGUGAGAAUGAAUUCAGCCAACGUCAAGGAACGGUUGUGCUUUUAAACGUAAAAAUGUGUUUUAUGCGUAUAUGACUUUUUAAACAGCCUUGGCGAUCUCGAUUGGAUGCCUCUGAUCAAGGUAUCCCCGAGAAUGAGUUUUGGCACGAGCCAAGUUUUUAAGAGAUUCAUAAGCCUCAAUGUAUAUUUUGGAUGAAAUGUAACUGGUUUAGAUGAUUUGAAAUGUGUUUUGAGGUUAUGAACCAUUUUAUGAUGAUCUAUUUUAAAUUGUCUCCAUUUACUCGGCUUUAGAUAUUUUAGAUGAUGUUUGUUUACUCACUGAGUUUAUAUAAACUCACCACCCUCAUUUUCACUCAUUCCAAGCUCAGGAUAGUCAGUAGAUAGUUGAUUUCGUUGAGGGCUACAGUUGGAUUUGCAUCCUCAAAAACCGUAGGUUCACAUCCUUCGUUACUUUUGGUCAUUCGGGGGUCCACAUGUCAUUGUAAAUUAAGUUACACACUUUGGCUCACUGUGUUACUGUAUGUAUAAAUUUAUUUUGCUUUUACGCUAUAAAAAUUAUUUACGCGUAGUUUUAUAAAAAUUAUUUUAUAAGAAAAUGGAAUAUUUUAUUCAAUAUUUUUAUUUUAUCUUAAUAGCUAUCAUUUCACUUUAAAUGAACGUUUUAGACAUCUAAACUUAUUUUUGGUUAUGAAAUAUGUAUCUUUCACUCAUAUAAUACAUUUUUAGAUGGUUUUGAAAUUUUUGGGGAAAAAUGACCAAAAUACCCCUGUGAGACCAAAAUUAUUUUCUUUAUUGUUUUGGUUUGGAAAUAGCUUAUCAUCUUUUAAAAUGUGAUAUUAUCAACUGUUGCUCGCAGGGGAGGUGAGAAAACUGAUAUUAAAGCCUUGCGGGGUUUCGAUUAGCAUUCCGAGUAAUGAAUGUCCAUCGGAACAUCGAUGCGGUUGUCAUAGGCUCGAGGAGAGUACCGGGUCGUGACACCCUCACUCUCGUAGGCCAUUAAGCUGCGACUUUCCUAUAAGGGAGCCACUGCUUUGAUGGUUUUUUUCUUUUUUUUUCCAAAUGAGGCCUCAACCUAAAGCCCAAUAGGCCACAGCCACAUCAAUUAGAGUUCGGGAGGCCAUGGCCAGCGUCAAUUAGAGUCUAGGAGGCUACAGCCUACCCCUUUUUUGAAAAUUUUUUUUUGAAUUUUUUUUACAUUUUUUAUAGGG
rnacentral:lncRNA from 1 species